rnacentral:misc_RNA from 1 species
GAUGAAGAACGCAGCGAAAUGCGAUAAGUAGUGUGAAUUGCAGAAUUCAGUGAAUCAUCGAAUCUUUGAACGCACAUUGCGCCCCUUGGUAUUCCAUGGGGCAUGCCUGUUCGAGCGUCAUUUGUACCUUCAAGCUUUGCUUGGUGUUGGGUGUUUGUCCAUUCUCUUGCAGAGGGACUCGCCUUAAAGUAAUUGGCAGCCAGUGUUUUGGUUUUGAAGCGCAGCACAAGUCGCGAUUCAAAGCUAUACGCCCGCUUCCACAAGCCUUCUUCACUUUUGACCUCGGAUCAGGUAGGGAUACCCGCUGAACUUAAGCAUAUCAAUAAGCGGGGA